rnacentral:lncRNA from 1 species
AACAUGAAACAACAUUAAACAAUAUGAAAUAACAUUAAAUAACAUUAAUCAACAUACAAAUUAUACAACAUAAAAAAACAUUUAACAACAUGAAACUUAAACAAAAUUUUUAAAAACAUUUAACAACAUAAAACUUAAAAGCCUACUCCAUGCUUCUUUUGGCCCAAAGAUGUGCAACAAGAUCCUGUUGUAGGUACGUAUUUGUGGCAUGAGAACGUAUCAUUCUAUAGCGCCUCAUAUACUCAUUUAUAGAGAUACUACCAGUUCUUGGAUUGAAAGGCAAA